rnacentral:rRNA from 2 species
UGGCUCAGGAUGAACGCUGGCGGCGUGCCUAAUACAUGCAAGUCGAACGAGUUCUCGUUGAUGAUCGGUGCUUGCACCGAGAUUCAACAUGGAACGAGUGGCGGACGGGUGAGUAACACGUGGGUAACCUGCCCUUAAGUGGGGGAUAACAUUUGGAAACAGAUGCUAAUACCGCAUAGAUCCAAGAACCGCAUGGUUCUUGGCUGAAAGAUGGCGUAAGCUAUCGCUUUUGGAUGGACCCGCGGCGUAUUAGCUAGUUGGUGAGGUAACGGCUCACCAAGGCGAUGAUACGUAGCCGAACUGAGAGGUUGAUCGGCCACAUUGGGACUGAGACACGGCCCAAACUCCUACGGGAGGCAGCAGUAGGGAAUCUUCCACAAUGGACGCAAGUCUGAUGGAGCAACGCCGCGUGAGUGAAGAAGGCUUUCGGGUCGUAAAACUCUGUUGUUGGAGAAGAAUGGUCGGCAGAGUAACUGUUGUCGGCGUGACGGUAUCCAACCAGAAAGCCACGGCUAACUACGUGCCAGCAGCCGCGGUAAUACGUAGGUGGCAAGCGUUAUCCGGAUUUAUUGGGCGUAAAGCGAGCGCAGGCGGUUUUUUAAGUCUGAUGUGAAAGCCCUCGGCUUAACCGAGGAAGCGCAUCGGAAACUGGGAAACUUGAGUGCAGAAGAGGACAGUGGAACUCCAUGUGUAGCGGUGAAAUGCGUAGAUAUAUGGAAGAACACCAGUGGCGAAGGCGGCUGUCUGGUCUGUAACUGACGCUGAGGCUCGAAAGCAUGGGUAGCGAACAGGAUUAGAUACCCUGGUAGUCCAUGCCGUAAACGAUGAAUGCUAGGUGUUGGAGGGUUUCCGCCCUUCAGUGCCGCAGCUAACGCAUUAAGCAUUCCGCCUGGGGAGUACGACCGCAAGGUUGAAACUCAAAGGAAUUGACGGGGGCCCGCACAAGCGGUGGAGCAUGUGGUUUAAUUCGAAGCAACGCGAAGAACCUUACCAGGUCUUGACAUCUUUUGAUCACCUGAGAGAUCAGGUUUCCCCUUCGGGGGCAAAAUGACAGGUGGUGCAUGGUUGUCGUCAGCUCGUGUCGUGAGAUGUUGGGUUAAGUCCCGCAACGAGCGCAACCCUUAUGACUAGUUGCCAGCAUUUAGUUGGGCACUCUAGUAAGACUGCCGGUGACAAACCGGAGGAAGGUGGGGAUGACGUCAAAUCAUCAUGCCCCUUAUGACCUGGGCUACACACGUGCUACAAUGGAUGGUACAACGAGUUGCGAGACCGCGAGGUCAAGCUAAUCUCUUAAAGCCAUUCUCAGUUCGGACUGUAGGCUGCAACUCGCCUACACGAAGUCGGAAUCGCUAGUAAUCGCGGAUCAGCACGCCGCGGUGAAUACGUUCCCGGGCCUUGUACACACCGCCCGUCACACCAUGAGAGUUUGUAACACCCGAAGCCGGUGGCGUAACCCUUUUAGGGAGCGAGCCGUCUAAGGUGGGACAAAUGAUUAGGGUGAAGUCGUAACAAGGUAGCCGUAGGAGAA